rnacentral:rRNA from 1 species
AACGAACGCUGGCGGCAGGCUUAACACUUGCAAGUCGAGCGCCCCGCAAGGGGAGCGGCAGACGGGUGAGUAACGCGUGGGAAUCUACCCAUCUCUACGGAAUAACGCAUGGAAACGUGUGCUAAUACCGUAUACGUCCUUCGGGAGAAAGAUUUAUCGGAGAUGGAUGAGCCCGCGUUGGAUUAGCUAGUUGGUGGGGUAAAGGCCUACCAAGGCGACGAUCCAUAGCUGGUCUGAGAGGAUGAUCUGCCACACUGGGACUAAGACACGGCUCAGACUCCUACCGGAGGAAGCUGUGGAGAAUAUUGCACAAUGGGCGCAAGAAUAAUACAGCCAUGCCGCGUGAGUGAUGAAGGCCCUAGGGUUGUAAAGCUCUUUCACCGGUGAAGAUAAUGACGUUAACCGGAGAAGAAGCCCCGGCUAACUUCGUGCCAGCCGCCGCCGUAACAC